rnacentral:rRNA from 1 species
UCUUCCCUCUGGCGGCGUGCCUAAUACAUGCAAGUCGAGCGAGCAGACGAGGAGCUUGCUCCUCUGACGUUAGCGGCGGACGGGUGAGUAACACGUGGAUAACCUACCUAUAAGACUGGGAUAACUUCGGGAAACCGGAGCUAAUACCGGAUAAUAUAUUGAACCGCAUUGUUCAAUAGUGAAAGACGGUUUUGCUGUCACUUAUAGAUGGAUCCGCGCCGCAUUAGCUAGUUGGUAAGGUAACGGCUUACCAAGGCAACGAUGCGUAGCCGACCUGAGAGGGUGAUCGGCCACACUGGAACUGAGACACGGUCCAGACUCCUACGGGAGGCAGCAGUAGGGAAUCUUCCGCAAUGGGCGAAAGCUUGACGGAGCAACGCCGCGUGAGUGAUGAAGGUCUUCGGAUCGUAAAACUCUGUUAUUAGGGAAGAACAAAUGUGUAAGUAACUAUGCACGUCUUGACGGUACCUAAUCAGAAAGCCACGGCUAACUACGUG